UACGUAGGUGGCGAGCGUUGUCCGGAUUUAUUGGGCGUAAAGGGAGCGCAGGCGGUGACUUAAGUCUGAUGUGAAAGCCCACGGCUCAACCGUGGAAGGUCAUUGGAAACUGGGUCACUUGAAUAUAGAAGAGGAAAGUGGAAUUCCAUGUGUAGCGGUGAAAUGCGUAGAUAUAUGGAGGAACACCAGUGGCGAAGGCGACUUUCUGGUCUAUUAUUGACGCUGAGGCUCGAAAGCAUGGGUAGGCAAACAGGAUUAGAUA
rnacentral:rRNA from 1 species